rnacentral:SRP_RNA from 1 species
GCUAGGCAUGGUGGCCCACGCCUGUAGUCCCAGCUACUUGGGGGGCUGAGGCAGGAGGAUCACUUGAGCCCAGGAUGUCGAGGCUGCAGUGAGCCAAGAUAGCGCCACUGCACUCCAGCCUGGGUGACAAAGUGAGACCUUGUCUCAG